UUAUAACUCAUUACUGUUUGUUUAUUAAUUAUUUUUUAAAUUUACAUACAGUCCAUUAAGACUAUACUUGAAUAAAGCAAUUUUAAUAUAACAAAUGAGUAAAUGGACAAAUAAAUUGUAUGGAUCCAUACAAUGGAAACCUACUCAGGAAACAACAUGAAUGAAUCACAAAGGUGUUAUACUGAGCAGAAAACUCAAGUCUCAAAAAGUUACAUACAGCAUGUAUGUCAUAUAAAGGGAAUCGAAUUGUUCAAAUUAUCGGUGUUUCUGUCUUCAGAUGGAUCCUCACUGGCAGAGAAUCUGGGUCCCGAGAUUCUGCAUUUCUAACAAGCUCCCAGGUGAUGCGGGUGCUGCCGGUCCAGGAGUCACACCCCCAACAGCAGGGCUGUAGCAAGAUCACUGUGCCAAGGAUGGUUGACAGGGGCAGGACUGGGCGCAGGGACAUCUGGUCACAAAGGAGGGUAUUGUGGCAAUGCAGGUGAACAAUAAUGAGGGCCUGAACCAAGCCACUGGCAGUGGGGAAGAAAAUGGGGAGACAGUGGAGAUAGUAAGGAGACGGAUCCAACAGGUUGGAGGGGUGGAGACACCGUUCCCAGGAACACGGGAAGAAGAGCAGGAAUGGAAGUAGGGACACAGGGAAACAAGGAGUUUACUCUUAGUCUUUCAGUUUUAGACACGCCAAGUGUGAAGGACGAUGGCAGGACAUCAGGUAGAACUGUCCAGUAAGAAGUUGGCCAUGAGUGUCUGGAGCUCAGAAGAGAGAGGUCUGGGCUGAAGCCAAUGGAGAGUGUGGGAUGUGAUCAUCAGGGAACGGGAGUGAGUGGAGAAAAGGGGGGGGGCGGCAGGUGCCCUGCGGAUGCGGAUUCCAUCCAUCCGUUCUCUCCAGCCCCCCGUCCUGCUCGCUUUCCCACGCCACAUCCACCACAGGCUGCCUUCCUUCUUUUCUCUUCUUACCUUUUUUAAAUCGAGAUAUAAUGGGCAUAUAACAUUAUAUUAGCUAGGGUGUACAACACAAUGAUUUGGUAUUUGUAUAUAUUGUGAAAUGAUAACUACAAUAAGUCUAGUUAACAUCUAUCACCGUAGUUACAAUUUAUUUUUCUUUUGAUGAAAAAGUUUAACAUUUACAUUCUUAGCAACUUUCAAACAUGCAAUACAGUAUUAUUAACUAUAGUCACCAUGCUGUACAUGACAUCUCCAUCACUUAGUUAUUUUAUAACUGGAAGUUUGUACCUUUUGACCCCCUUCAUCCAUUUUGCUCACCUAUCCCCUCUUUUAUUAUAUUUACACGUGGUUGGGCUCAGAGCCAAAUCUUAGCAUCUCAGGCACUUGCCCAGGGACAAAAGGAGAUGCCUGUAACUACACGCCUCCAACAUUAGAGGGAAGAGUUGUUCGGGUAGAAGAGUCUGGUCUUGGCUACCCCACUCUGGGUCCCAGAAGAAAGCUGCUUCCUUUAAUCUGGAGGCAAAGUAUACACUAAAGUUCUUUCUGCAUUUCUUCUUAGCACAUAUAACAUAAAUUCACAAUUUAAAAAGUAUUUUUACCACUAAGGAAAUAAUUACAGAACUAUGCAUUUAUUAACAAUAGCCCAAUUUCCAAAAUUAAAGAUUCUAAUUCAAAUGACUCUAAAAAAACAGUGACAAGAUUCCAAGACCUCGGAUUCCCUUAUAUCAGGAAUAGAACAUUCUAGAAGGAAGGGCUUGCACCAGUCAUUUGGUUUCUUCUAUUCCAGUCCUGCAUUUCCACAGGGGGUAAUUUUAUCUCCCUCCAAUGCAAUGCGUCUAAAGGGACAUUUUGCACCGCCCCCUCUCCCCCACGCCAGGACCAAUGCCAAAGCCUUAUUAAAACGAAAAAUUUUCUUCACGGUAUAAUUUUAAGUAAAAAAGCAUUAUGUUAAAUAUGAUCCCAGUUUUGCAAACACGUGUUACAUAUGCACUAAAGAGCCUGGAAGACAACAAUGAACAUCUUUGAGAGAGUGCAUUAUGGAUGUUUUGUUUCCACUUAUCUGUAUUUUCUUAUUGUCUUCUAUGAUAAAUACACUUUGCUUCAGUAAGAAAAAGUCAAUGAAGAUUUUUAAUUAUUUGAAAACUCUCACUGCUCAGAUUCCAGGCAGGCACGCGAUACGUAUUAAUUAGAUGUGUGAGGGAGUGAGAAUAAAUGAAGAUGAAUGAAUACCAAAGGGAUGGUCUCGUGCAGCGUGUCCCCGCGCUUCUUCUGAUGGAUGGCUGCCUUCUUCUGUGCUUGCAGAGCAAGACCUGAGUACAGCUCUAGGCUUCCUUCUGUUGCCACCUCCCUGAACCCACAAACAGAUCACUCAGAGAAGAACAGUAUCUCAGAGGGGAGCGGGUGUGGGGGCGGGGGAGUUGUUUGGCCUUUGUGAAUAAAGCGUCAGACUUGGAAGGCCCCGCCCCUAAUUAAUUGCCGGAGAAAGGCGAGUCUCCCGGUGUAAACAACCUGCAGCAGCUGGCGAGACAAGUCCCCGAAGCCCAGACCCAUACUAGCCAAUUAGCAGGGGCUCAUCUGAGAAGACAUUUCACCCGGGGACCUAACUGCUGAAUGUGUGCCAGACCAGCAGGGACAAACAAGCUGUGCCACCCUCCUCAGAAUUCAGAGGCUGCCACCAGUGCAAGACAAGUGAUGUGGAAUGUGUUUCCAAGAGACCAACGAACCAGCUCUGGAGUGCGGCAUUGUAGCAACAGAGAUGUCUGCCAAAUGACAGAGCACAUAAAAGGGAGAGCCCAUAAUUAAUCUGCACGGAGCGUCCGAUUCUUGGCAAGCUUAAUGAGCUGCUGUUGGCCCUGCACAUCGACACGGCACUCUCUAAUUCCUCCACACAUCAAGCAAAUGGAUAUGAACCCAAGGUGGGGGAAAUAGGCGUCGUCCACAGCUCAGAUCUGCGGGAUCCUGAGUACAGGGAUGGAAAGCCCCCGGGAUCCCCUGAACAGGUGCAGCAACAGCAGGAAGGAUGCUAACUGAAGAGGAAAUGGUUAUAUCUUUUUAAUUACAUGGCAGAGCCAUUCCCUGCCUGACCAGCAGAGCAACACAUAGAGACGGUUGUCGUUUUGCUUUAGAAAAACGGAGUCUUUUCACUCCCUGCCACUUGUUUAUUUCUGCGCAGUCCUGUGUGAGAGAUCACUCAAUCACUAUGGUCUACACUUGCUUCCUUAACUCUAUCUCCCCCCGAAACCCAGGCAAUCAGAGGAUUGACAGGAAAGACAACAUCUAAUUUUUGCAGAUGCUCGCCAGCUCCCCUGGAGUAUACGUAAAGAAGGCUGCAUUUUGUGGCAGAAAAGGGAGGCCACUGUUGGAGAGAACAAUCCAUGUUCCAGCCAAGAGAGGGCAGCGGCGUGCAAGACAUAUUUCUGUGCACCGGGCUCAGAGGAGAGCUUCUCAGCCAGCAACCUGGAAACAACCCCAGUCAUUGUCCAGGAAGCAAAAUUACCCAAUAACCCCCAAGAGGAAGGACCUCGUAACAGUUUUUUAUUAUUAAAUUGCCACUAGGCCAUAAGAAUACUUCUAUGAUGUGGAGAAGUUUCUUUCCAUACUUGUGCAGAACCAGUAGUCUAGCCUAAGAGGACGACAGAGUCCAAUUUCUUGACAAAAAAGUGAUUUUUUUCCAGGCUUUAUCUGAGGUUGAAUUAAUGAGCUACUCACACAGAAAUGAGAAUUCAGUUACUUCUCAGAGCCUGAGGAGAUUUUACUUGGAAUGUUGGCACCACUCCCCCGUCCCUGAACUAAGCA
rnacentral:lncRNA from 1 species